rnacentral:rRNA from 1 species
GAUCAUGGCUCAGGAUGAACGCUAGCUACAGGCUUAACACAUGCAAGUCGAGGGGCAUCAGGAAGAAAGCUUGCUUUCUUUGCUGGCGACCGGCGCACGGGUGAGUAACACGUAUCCAACCUACCCUUUACUCGGGGAUAGCCUUUCGAAAGAAAGAUUAAUACCCGAUGGCAUAAUGAUUCCGCAUGGUUUCAUUAUUAAGGAUUCCGGUAAAGGAUGGGGAUGCGUUCCAUUUAGGGUUGUUGGGUGAGGUAACGG